rnacentral:rRNA from 1 species
UACGAAGGGGGCUAGCGUUGUUCGGAGUGACUGGGCGUAAAGAGCACGUAGGCGGGUUUGCAAGUCGAUUGUGAAAGCCCUGGGCUUAACCCGGGAAUGGCAGUCGAAACUGCAGAUCUUGAAUGUCCGAGAGGUUAGUGGAAUUCCUGGUGUAGGAGUGAAAUCCGUAGAUAUCAGGAGGAACACCGGCGGCGAAGGCGGCUAACUGGUGGAACAUUGACGCUGAGGUGCGAAAGCGCGGGUAGCAAACAGG